CACGUAGGGUGCGAGCGUUGUCCGGAAUUAUUGGGCGUAAAGAGCUCGUAGGCGGUGUGUCGCGUCGGCCGUGAAAACCUGCAGCUUAACUGUGGGCUUGCGGUCGAUACGGGCAUCACUGGAGUUCGGCAGGGGAGACUGGAAUUCCUGGUGUAGCGGUGAAAUGCGCAGAUAUCAGGAGGAACACCGAUGGCGAAGGCAGGUCUCUGGGCAUUAAACUGACGCU
rnacentral:rRNA from 1 species